GCCUAGGUGGCUCAGUCAUUGAGCGUCUGACUGUGGCUCAGGUCAUGAUCUCACAGUUCGUGGGUUUGAGCCCCAUGUCAGGCU
rnacentral:tRNA from 1 species